rnacentral:rRNA from 1 species
AAGUGACUGCCGGUGCAAGCCGGAGGUAGGUGGGGAUGACGUCAAAUCAUCAUGCCCCUUAUGUCCUGGGCUACACACGUGCUACAAUGGAUAGUACAAUGGGUCGCGAAGCCGCGAGGUGGAGCUAAUCCCAUAAAUCUAUUCUCAGUUCGGAUUGUUGGCUGCAACUCGCCUACAUGAAGCCGGAAUCGCUAGUAAUCGUGGAUCUGCUUGCCUCGGUGAUUUCGUUCCCGGGCCUUGUA